UCCACCGCCUUCUCCUUCCAAGAAAGAAACUCCACCAACAUCUCCUCUUCAAGAAUCAACUCCACCGCUAUCUCCUCCUAAAAGAGUAAUUCCGCCAAUAUAUCUUCAUAAGGGAGCAACUCCAUCCCUUUCUCCUCCCAAGAAAGACGCUUCACAAAUAUCUCCUCCUAAGGAAUCCCCUUUACCACUAUCUCCUCCUAAAGGAAAAACUCACC
rnacentral:lncRNA from 1 species